UACGAAGGGGGCUAGCGUUGUUCGGAUUUACUGGGCGUAAAGCGCACGUAGGCGGAUCGUUAAGUCGGGGGUGAAAUCCUGGAGCUCAACUCCAGAACUGCCUUUGAUACUGGAGAGCUAGAGUCCGGAAGAGGUGAGUGGAACUGCGAGUGUAGAGGUGAAAUUCGUAGAUAUUCGCAAGAACACCAGUGGCGAAGGCGGCUCACUGGUCCGGUACUGACGCUGAGGUGCGAAAGCGUGGGGAGCAAACAGGG
rnacentral:rRNA from 1 species